rnacentral:rRNA from 1 species
GACGAACGCUGGCGGCGUGCUUAACACAUGCAAGUCGAACGAAGUGGCGAACGGGUGAGUAACGCGUAAUCAACCUGCCCUUCAGAGGGGGACAACAGUUGGAAACGACUGCUAAUACCGCAUACUUAAGGAGGGGAUUGCGUCUGAUUAGCUAGUCGGAGGGGUAACGGCCACCCAAGGCGAUGAUCAGUAGCCGGUCUGAGAGGUGGAACGGCCAGAUUGGGACUGAGACACGGCCCAGACUCCUACGGGAGGCAGCAGUGGGGAAUCUUCCGCAAUGGACGAAAGUCUGACGGGGCAACGCCGCGUGAGUGAUUACGGCCUUCGGGUUGUAAAGCUCUGUUAAUCGGGACGCGGUACCGGAAUAGAAAGCCACGGCUAUCUACGUGCCAGCAGCCGCGGUAAUAC